GAUGAACGCUGGCGGCGUGCUUAACACAUGCAAGUCGAACGGGAAACCUUUUAUUGAAGCUUCGGCAGAUUUCGCUGGUUUCUAGUGGCGGACGGGUGAGUAACGCGUGGGUAACCUGCCUUAUACAGGGGGAUAACAGUCAGAAAUGGCUGCUAAUACCGCAUAAGCGCACAGAGCUGCAUGGCUCAGUGUGAAAAACUCCGGUGGUAUAAGAUGGACCCGCGUUGGAUUAGCUGGUUGGUGGGGUAACGGCCCACCAAGGCGACGAUCCAUAGCCGGCCUGAGAGGGUGAACGGCCACAUUGGGACUGAGACACGGCCCAGACUCCUACGGGAGGCAGCAGUGGGGAAUAUUGCACAAUGGGGGAAACCCUGAUGCAGCGACGCCGCGUGAAGGAAGAAGUAUCUCGGUAUGUAAACUUCUAUCAGCAGGGAAGAUAAUGACGGUACCUGAAUAAGAAGCCCCGGCUAACUACGUG
rnacentral:rRNA from 1 species